rnacentral:rRNA from 1 species
CAGCACCUCAAGUGGUCAGGAUGAUUAUUGGGCCUAAAGCAUCCGUAGCCGGCGCUGUAAGUUUUCGGUUAAAUCCGUACGCUCAACGUACAGGCUGCCGGGAAUACUGCAGCGCUAGGGAGUGGGAGAGGUAGACGGUACUCGGUAGGAAGGGGUAAAAUCCUUUGAUCUAUUGAUGACCACCUGUGGCGAAGGCGGUCUACCAGAACACGUCCGACGGUGAGGGAUGAAAGCUGGGGGAGCAAACCGGAUUAGAUACCCGAGUAGUC